CGUAAUAGCUCACUGGUCGAGUCGGCCUGCGCGGAAGAUGUAACGGGGCUAAACCAUGCACCGAAGCUGCGGCAGCGACGCUUAUGCGUUGUUGGGUAGGGGAGCGUUCUGUAAGCCUGUGAAGGUGUGCUGUGAGGCAUGCUGGAGGUAUCAGAAGUGCGAAUGCUGACAUAAGUAACGAUAAAGCGGGUGAAAAGCCCGCUCGCCGGAAGACCAAGGGUUCCUGUCCAACGUUAAUCGGGGCAGGGUGAGUCGACCCCUAAGGC
rnacentral:rRNA from 1 species